ACUCCCACCUCACCCUCGUCACCAACAGUCAUCCAUUUAAUAAUUUCCAUUAGCAUCUCCAUCACACUUUCGUCUAUCGCCAUCACGCUGUAACCCCCACCAUUAGCACAAUUCGCGCCCACAAUAUUUCACAGAGAGGGAUUGUAUUGAAUGUGGAUGAACCCAACCUUUAAUUUUUGGAGAAUAGAAAGCAAAAGCUAAAGUGGUGAAAACUAAAUUCAACAACACAACACUUUGCAAUUCGCGUAGUCAUAAACAGAGGUGAACCAAAGAGAAAACAUAGAAAGUGAAGCCACAAAAUAUAUGAACCUAGACUUGUUAAUACAUAUCACUUAACUCACAAAGUAUUCAUUUCAUCAAAAGUGAGGCAAACCAAGAACAGUGAACUAGAGUGGGAGUUAGGAGUAUAUACCGGAACCGAAGGCAUAGGGACAGCAAACCUGAGGCAUAGAGGCGAGCAAAUGAUGUGGUACCAGCAAACCAAACCCACAAUUACGACUAGAGACACCAAACCACAAGUGAGCAACGCUACGAACACGACAAUAAUGAUGGAGACGUUGCCACUAAUGAUGGCACUACUAAUGACAAGGCAGCAAGCAGCCUUGCUAUGGGGAUAGAGGUGUAGCAACACUUUGGGGAAGAGGGUGGUGCGUAGAAUUUCAUCGUUAUUAAUAUCAAGGUUCUGAAAAUUGGACCGGACCGGCCGGUUCGACCGGUUUAACCACGAACCGGCGACGCAAGCGGUCUGGUCCUCCUCUAGAAACCGCCUGGAAAAGAAUCGCUGGAAAACCAGUGAACCGGCCGAAAACCGACCGGUUGGGCCAGACCGGUGACUGGCCGGUUCCUCUGACGCCGUUUUUUUAAUUGUUUUUUAAAAAAAUUAAAAAAAAUGAAAACCUACCCUACCCGUUCGUGAAGCACCCCCACCUCCAUUCAUUCAUCUCAGUCUCACAGUGAACCAACCCUAGCCCUCUGAAGGAUUUCAGGUUGAAUUUCUGAGGUUGGUGGAAAUGGAAGCUCUGACAUUUUUGUCAAGCUGAAUAUGCAACCUUCUGCACCAAAUUGUGGGAGACAUCAAUGGGCAAGUGGGGCUGCACCAAAUUAUGGCUUUCAGUUAAAGGGGCUAUGCCAUUGGAUGAAGGGUUGGCAAUUAGAUUCAAUACAUCUAAUGUGAUCAAGUGGAAGGAAGCCAAAUUGCAAAACAGAACUAGGGGUUGCAAAAUACAAAAAUAAAUUGAAGGAAAACACAACUUCGGACAUUUCAUUCAACAUGUGAGUGAUACAAUUACUGUUUGCUAGACAACAGGAGCAAUUAAAGUCUAUGCAAAGAACUCUUGAAGACGAAGAGAAUGGAGUCGUCAGUGGAGCCUCAGGCAGAGAAAAACAGCUUGCUAAGGAACAUAGUAACAAUGAUGUUAAGACAGGAAUGGCUACUACUGUGCAGAAGCAUGAUGACGGAGAUCAAAUUCAAGCUUUAAGCAAUGAAGCAAGUGUCAUUGAGAAACAUGACCCUGAUAAAAAAUGUGAAGAACACCGAAAUACGCAAGAGGUGGAUCAAGUUCAAACUUCAGCCAAUGAAGCAAGUGUCACUGAGAAGCAUCCUUCUGAUAUUACAAGUGAAGAAUGCCGAAAUGCACAUGAAACAGAUCAAGUUCAAACUUCAACCAACGAAGAUAGUGUCACUGAGAAGCAUCACUCUGAUAUUAGAAGUGAAGAAUCCCAUAAGACACAUGACUUUAGCUGCUGUUGUUAACUUGUUAUGCACUUAUACUGCUGUUUUGUUAUGGAAUUAUGGCACUGAGUGUUUUGAAUUUUGAAUGUGAUUUGUGAUUUGUGAUUAUAUUAGUGAUUUUGUUAUGCUGCUAUUUUGAAUUAAUUUAGGGGUGAUUAAUUGUCAUGCUAUUGUUUUGAAUUAAUUUAGGAGUGAUUAAUGAUUAUUUCUAGUUGUAUUGUUGCUGUUUGCACCAUUGCUCUUUUCACUAUUUAACUUUGUAUUUUGAUAAGAUCAUAUGGAUUUGGUUGGCAUUUCAUAUAAUGUUUUAAAUUUGGAAGAUAUUUAAG